AGAACGAACGCUGGCGGCAUGCCUAAUACAUGCAAGUCGAACGAACUCUUCGGAGUUAGUGGCGCACGGGUGCGUAACGCGUGGGAAUCUGCCCUUGGGUUCGGAAUAACAGUUGGAAACGACUGCUAAUACCGGAUGAUGACGAAAGUCCAAAGAUUUAUCGCCCAGGGAUGAGCCCGCGUAGGAUUAGCUAGUUGGUGAGGUAAAGGCUCACCAAGGCGACGAUCCUUAGCAGGUCUGAGAGGAUGAUCAGCCACACUGGGACUGAGACACGGCCCAGACUCCUACGGGAGGCAGCAGUAGGGAAUAUUGGACAAUGGGCGAAAGCCUGAUCCAGCAAUGCCGCGUGAGUGAGUGAAGGCCUUAGGGUUAGUAAAGCUUACUUUACCCGAGAUGAUAAUGACAGUAGUCGGAGAAGUAAGCCCCGACUAACUCCGUGCCAGCAGCCG
rnacentral:rRNA from 1 species